AACCUAAGGUUUCCCGGGGAAGGUUCGUCCGCCCGGGGUUAGUCGGAACCUAAGGCGAGGCCGAAAGGCGUAGUCGAUGGAGGACAGGUUAAUAUUCCUGUACCACCUUGUUGGAGUGAUGGAGGGACGCAGUAAGUCAGGUGAGCCAACUGCUGAAUAUGUUGGUCGAAGGCCGUAGGGCGCACGAUAGGCAAAUCCGUCGUGCUUUCAACCCGAGAGUCGUAAGGUAGCCGAACGCAAGUUCGGCGAAUUCACUGUGACGACGCUGACGAGAAAAGCUUCUAAACGUUGAAAACAGGGUGCCCGUACCGAAACCGACACAGGUAGGUGAGGCGAGUAGCCUAAGGUGCGCGAGAGAAACCAACGUUAAGGAACUCGGCAAAUUGACCCCGUAACUUAGGGAUAAGGGGUGCCGCUUCAGGUGAAGGGACUUGCUCCCGGAGCCCGGAGCGGUUGCAACAAAGAGGCUGGUGCGACUGUUUAACAAAAACACAGCUCUAUGCUAACUCGCAAGAGGAUGUAUAUGGAGUGACACGUGACCAAUGCCAAAAGGUCAAUGGGAGAGGUUAGCGCAAGCGAAGCUUCGAUCUGAAGCCCUGGUGAAUGUCGGCCGUAACUAUAACGGUCCUAAGGUAGCGAAAUUCCUUGUCGGGUAAGUUCCGACCUGCACGAAUCGUGUAACGAUGCCAGCACUGUCUCAACGUGGAUCUCGGCGAAGUUGUAAUUCCGGUGAAAAUGCCGGAUACCUGCGGAAGGACGGAAAGACCCCAUGAACCUUUACUGUAAUCUGAUAUUGGUAUUUGAUUGCUCUUGUGUAGCAUAGGUGGGAGGCAGUGAAACCGCUACGCCAGUACCGGUGGAGCCACAGGUGAAAUACCACCCUGGUGUAAUUAGAUAUCUAACGGUGUCCCGUGAAUCCGGGCCCCGGACCGUGUCAGAGGGUCAGUUUGACUGGGGCGGUUUCCUCCUAAAUUGUAACGGAGGAGCCCGAAGGUACACUCAGCACGGUUGGCAAUCGUGUGCAGAGCGUAAGGGUAGAAGUGUGCUUUACUGUAAGACCGACAGGUCGAGCAGUUGCGAAAGCAGGGCCUAGUGAUCCAGCGAUGGAAUGUGGAAUCGUCGUUGCUCAACGGAUAAAAGGUACUCUGGGGAUAACAGGCUGAUAGCGCCCAAGCGUCCAUAGCGACGGCGCUGUUUGGCACCUCGAUGUCGACUCAUCACAUCCUGGGGCUG
rnacentral:rRNA from 1 species